rnacentral:rRNA from 1 species
UACGUAGGGUGCGAGCGUUAAUCGGAAUUACUGGGCGUAAAGCGUGCGCAGGCGGUUUUGUAAGUCAGAUGUGAAAUCCCCGGGCUUAACCUGGGAACUGCGUUUGAAACUACAAGGCUAGAGUGUGGCAGAGGGGGGUGGAAUUCCACGUGUAGCAGUGAAAUGCGUAGAGAUGUGGAGGAACACCGAUGGCGAAGGCAGCCCCCUGGGGUAACACUGACGCUCAGGCACGAAAGCGUGGGGAGCAAACAGG